UCCCCAGUAGCCUAGUGGUUAGGACUCCUGCUUAUACUGCAGGUGGCACGGGUUUGAUCCCUGGUUGGGGAU
rnacentral:tRNA from 1 species